rnacentral:rRNA from 1 species
UACGUAGGGACCAAGCGUUGUUCGGAUUUACUGGGCGUAAAGGGCGCGUAGGCGGCGUGGUAAGUCACUUGUGAAAUCUCUGAGCUUAACUCAGAACGGCCAAGUGAUACUGCUGUGCUAGAGUGCAGAAGGGGCAAUCGGAAUUCUUGGUGUAGCGGUGAAAUGCGUAGAUAUCAGGAGGAACACCGGUGGCGAAGGCGGAUCUCUGGGCCAUUACUGACGCUGAGGAGCGAAAGCGUGGGGAGCGAACAGG